AGAGUUUGAUCCUGGCUCAGAUUGAACGCUGGCGGCGUGCUUAACACAUGCAAGUCGAGCGGUAACGCGGGAGCAAUCCUGGCGACGAGCGGCGAACGGGUGAGUAAUGCUUCGGAAUCUGCCCAGUAGUGGGGAAUAACCAAUCGAAAGGUUGGCUAAUACCGCAUACGUCCUGAGGGAGAAAGCGGGGGAUCGUAAGA
rnacentral:rRNA from 1 species